rnacentral:sRNA from 1 species
UUUUUUGUUUGUUUUUCUUUU